GCAAUUCGAGAUUUCUCCCGUGGCUUCCGAGGAAAAGGAGGCCCCUACCCUGUAUCUGUGCCCUCCUUUGCAUCAGGGACCUAAACUGCUGUUUUGGAGAGGUUGUCUCUACCCCUCAGCUUGGUUGGUUUGAAACCCUGCACGACCUGUGAAGUCUUCCCCGGAUGGCUACAUCGUCUGGGGUCCCUUGUCCUGCCUGUACCCACAGCAAGCCCACGAAUCCAGGGCUUCCCUUGUUUCUGGAACAGCAAGCACGUCUACAUGCCGGGAGCCAUGAACAAGAUCUGUCAGGGGAAGCCUCAGUUGGCACCACCCAGGGCUGC
ensembl:lncRNA